rnacentral:lncRNA from 1 species
CUCACACCUGUAAUCCCAGCACUUUGGGAGGCCAAGGCGGGUGGAUCACUUGAGGUCAGGAGUUCAAGACCAGCCUGGCCAAGAUGGUGAAACCCCAUCUCUACUAAAAAUACAAAAAAAAAUUAGCCAGGCAUGGUGGCGGGCACCUGUAAUCCCAGCUACUCAGGAGGCUGAGGCAGAGAAUUGCUUGAACCUGGAAGGCAGAGGUGGCCGUGAGCCAAGAUCGCGCCACUGCACUCCAGCCUGGGUGACAGAGCAAGACUCCGUCUCAAAAAAAAAAAAAAAAAAAAAAAAUUACUUACCAAGCCACACAGUAAAUGUCUUGCAUAUGGUGACUGCCAAAUGGAAAAAAAAAAAAAAAAAAACGACACAACUAGCUGUUUCCUGAAACGUGAAUGCACACUUGCCGCCUGGGUAAAAUGUCCAGCAACAUACAUAGAAAGUCAGAUAGUGCUGAAGCUCAAGCAACUUCGAUGGCACAAAGAUGAUGUUUUAGAUAACUCAGAUGAUAGCAAUGAAAAAUAAAUUAUUAAAGUCAAAAAUGCAUAUGAGAAUUUAAAUAGAAUCAUUUCAGUGAUUCAGCAAGAGUGGGAAAAGGCAAUCCUUUAAAAUAAUGUAUUAGUUGAUCUAGUGUGUAAUUUUAUAUAUUUGUAACUUACUUGAACACUGCAAUGUAGAUAUUUAAGCAUUCUGUCUCCAGCCCUUAAAGGAGAUGUAUUUUUUUCUUCUUU